GGACUAGAAUGAAUGGAUAUAUGAAGCAUUUCUUUCUUAAAUCAAAAUUUAAAAAUAAUUUUUUUAGUGAAGAAACUAAGAUGAUUAUGAGGGACGAGAAGACCCUAUUAAGCUUUAUGAAAUUCAUUUUGUUGGGGACAUAAAAGAAUAAAAUUUCUUUUUAAAGUUUAUUUUAUAAAAGAAGAUGUAUUAUUAAUGAUAAUAGAACAAGUUACUAUAGGGAUAACAGCAUAAUUUUUUUUAAAAGUUCUUAUUUACAAAAAAGUUUAUGACCUCGAUGUUGGAUUAAAAAUAUUAUAUAAUGUAGUUGUUGUAUAAAUUAGUCUGUUCGACUAUUAAAAUUUUAC
rnacentral:rRNA from 2 species